UAGCGUCGGAACGUACCGAGUAAUGGGGGAUAACGCGGCGAAAGUCGCGCUAAUACCGCAUGCGCCCUGAGGGGGAAAGCGGGGGAUCGCAAGACCUCGCGUUAUUCGAGCGGCCGACGUCUGAUUAGCUAGUUGGUGGGGUAAAGGCUCACCAAGGCGACGAUCAGUAGCGGGUCUGAGAGGGUGAUCCGCCACACUGGGACUGAGACACGGCCCAGACUCCUACGGGAGGCAGCAGUGGGGAAUUUUGGACAAUGGGGGCAACCCUGAUCCAGCCAUUCCGCGUGAGUGAAGAAGGCCUUCGGGUUGUAAAGCUCUUUCAGCUGGAGCGAAACGGUACGCUCUAACAUAGCGUGCUAAUGACGGUACCAGCAGAAGAAGCACCGGCUAACUACGUGCCAGCAGCCGCGGUAAUCAGCGGGGGAUCGCAAGACCUCGCGUUAUUCGAGCGGCCGACGUCUGAUUAGCUAGUUGGUGGGGUAAAGGCUCACCAAGGCGACGAUCAGUAGCGGGUCUGAGAGGAUGAUCCGCCACACUGGGACUGAGACACGGCCCAGACUCCUAUGGGAGGCAGCAGUGGGGAAUUUUGGACAAUGGGGGCAACCCUGAUCCAGCCAUUCCGCGUGAGUGAAGAAGGCCUUCGGGUUGUAAAGCUCUUUCAGCUGGAGCGAAACGGUACGCUCUAACAUAGCGUGCUAAUGACGGUACCAGCAGAAGAAGCACCGGCUAACUACGUG
rnacentral:rRNA from 1 species